AUACGGAGGAUCCGAGCGUUAUCCGGAUUUAUUGGGUUUAAAGGGAGCGUAGGUGGACAGUUAAGUCAGUUGUGAAAGUUUGCGGCUCAACCGUAAAAUUGCAGUUGAUACUGGCUGUCUUGAGUACCGUAGAGGUGGGCGGAAUUCGUGGGGUAGCGGGUAAAUGCUUAGAUAUAACGAAGAACUCCGAUUGGGAAGGCAGCUCACUGGACUGCAACUGACACUGAUGCUCGAAAGUGCGGGUAUCAAACAGGAUUAGAUACCCUGGUAGUCCGCACAGUAAACGAUGAAUACUCGCUGUUUGCGAUACACUGUAAGCGGCCAAGCGAAAGCGUUAAGUAUUCCACCUGGGGAGUACGCCGGCAACGGUGAAACUCAAAGGAAUUGACGGGG
rnacentral:rRNA from 1 species